GAGCUGGGCUCCUUUGAAGUUAGCGGCGGACGGGUGAGUAACACGUGGGUAACCUACCUAUAAGACUGGAAUAACUUCGGGAAACCGGAGCUAAUGCCGGAUAACAUAUAGAACCGCAUGGUUCUAUAGUGAAAGAUGGUUUUGCUAUCACUUAUAGAUGGACCCGCGCCGUAUUAGCUAGUUGGUAAGGUAAUGGCUUACCAAGGCGACGAUACGUAGCCGACCUGAGAGGGUGAUCGGCCACACUGGAACUGAGACACGGUCCAGACUCCUACGGGAGGCAGCAGUAGGGAAUCUUCCGCAAUGGGCGAAAGCCUGACGGAGCAACGCCGCGUGAGUGAUGAAGGUUUUCGGAUCGUAAAACUCUGUUAUUAGGGAAGAACAAAUGCGUAAGUAACUGUGCGCAUCUUGACGGUACCUAAUCAGAAAGCCACGGCUAACUACGUGCCAGCAGCCGCGGUAAUACGUAGGUGGCAAGCGUUAUCCGGAAUUAUUGGGCGUAAAGCGCGCGUAGGCGGUUUCUUAAGUCUGAUGUGAAAGCCCACGGCUCAACCGUGGAGGGUCAUUGGAAACUGGGAAACUUGAGUGCAGAAGAGGAAAGUGGAAUUCCAUGUGUAGCGGUGAAAUGCGCAGAGAUAUGGAGGAACACCAGUGGCGAAGGCGACUUUCUGGUCUGUAACUGACGCUGAUGUGCGAAAGCGUGGGGAUCAAACAGGAUUAGAUACCCUGGUAGUCCACGCCGUAAACGAUGAGUGCUAAGUGUUAGGGGGUUUCCGCCCCUUAGUGCUGCAGCUAACGCAUUAAGCACUCCGCCUGGGGAGUACGACCGCAAGGUUGAAACUCAAAGGAAUUGACGGGGACCCGCACAAGCGGUGGAGCUGUGGUUAAUUCGAAGCACGCGAAAAACCUUACCAAUCUUGA
rnacentral:rRNA from 1 species